AUGAACGCUGGCGGCGUGCCUAAUACCUGCAAGUCGAGCGAACAGACGAGGAGCUUGCUCCUCUGACGUUAGCGGCGGACGGGUGAGUAACACGUGGAUAACCUACCUAUAAGACUGGGAUAACUUCGGGAAACCGGAGCUAAUACCGGAUAAUAUAUUGAACCGCAUGGUUCAAUAGUGAAAGACGGUUUUGCUGUCACUUAUAGAUGGAUCCGCGCCGCAUUAGCUAGUUGGUAAGGUAACGGCUUACCAAGGCAACGAUGCGUAGCUGACCUGAGAGGGUGAUCGGCCACACUGGAACUGAGACACGGUCCAGACUCCUACGGGAGGCAGCAGUAGGGAAUCUUCCGCAAUGGGCGAAAGCUUGACGGAGCAACGCCGCGUGAGUGAUGAAGGUCUUCGGAUCGUAAAACUCUGUUAUUAGGGAAGAACAAAUGUGUAAGUAACUAUGCACGUCUUGACGGUACCUAAUCAGAAAGCCACGGCUAACUACGUG
rnacentral:rRNA from 1 species